GUGAGUCAUCGAAUCUUUGAACGCACAUUGCGCUCUUUGGUAUUCCGAAGAGCACGCCUGUUUGAGUAUCGAAAAAACCAUCACGACUUGGUCUUGGAGUUCGCUCCGAUCGACUUUGAGACGUGGAUUUGGAUUGUCCUGCCGGAUUCGUUCGGUCAGGCAGUCUCAAAAAAGAGCGUUGGAAGCUGGAUCUCCUCUUACUGGGAUCGCUGCCCGAAAUGUUAUGAAUUGAGGUCCCCUCUCUGAGGGGAUAUCUUCAUUUUUCUUUCUUGCAGUUCGAGCCCGGUGGAGAACCGGUCG
rnacentral:misc_RNA from 1 species